rnacentral:tRNA from 1 species
GUUCUGAUGGCCGAGUGGUCUAAGUGGAAGACUUUUAUCCCAGGACUCUAUGGGUCAGAGGUUCGAGCCCUUUUGAGGACU